rnacentral:rRNA from 1 species
GAAACAGUUGCUAAGACUGGAUAGGAAAAUAAAAAGGCAUCUUUUUAUUUUUAAAAGACCUUUUUCGGAAGGUAUGCUUAAAGAGGGGCUUGCGUCACAUUAGUUAGUUGGCAGGGUAAAGGCCUACCAAGACUAUGAUGUGUAGCUGGACUGAGAGGUUGAACAGCCACAUUGGGACUGAGACACGGCCCAAACUCCUACGGGAGGCAGCAGUAGGGAAUUUUCGGCAAUGGAGGAAACUCUGACCGAGCAACGCCGCGUGAACGAUGAAGUAUUUCGGUAUGUAAAGUUCUUUUAUUGAAGAAGAAAAAAUAGUGGAAAAACUAUCUUGACGAUAUUCAAUGAAUAAGCCCCGGCAAACUAUGUGCCAGCAGCCGCGGUAAUACAUAGGGGGCGAGCGUUAUCCGGAAUUAUUGGGCGUAAAGGGUGCGUAGGCGGUUUAAUAAGUCUAUAGUUUAAUUUCAGUGCUUAACACUGUCCUGCUAUAGAAACUAUUAGACUAGAGUGAGAUAGAGGCAAGUGGAAUUCCAUGUGUAGCGGUAAAAUGCGUAAAUAUAUGGAGGAACACCAGAGGCGUAGGCGGCUUGCUGGGUCUUUACUGACGCUGAGGCACGAAAGCGUGGGGAGCAAACAGGAUUAGAUACCCUGGUAGUCCACGCCGUAAACGAUGAGUACUAAGUGUCGGGAUUACUCGGUACUGAAGUUAACACAUUAAGUACUCCGCCUGAGUAGUACGUACGCAAGUAUGAAACUUAAAGGAAUUGACGGGACUCCGCACAAGCGGUGGAUCAUGUUGUUUAAUUCGAAGAUACACGAAAAACCUUACCAGGUCUUGACAUACUCUGCAAAGCUAUAGCAAUAUAGUGGAGGUUAUCAGGGAUACAGGUGGUGCAUGGUUGUCGUCAGCUCGUGUCGUGAGAUGUUAGGUUAAGUCCUAAAACGAGCGCAACCCUUGUCAUUAGUUGCCAGCAUGUCAUGAUGGGCACUUUAAUGAGACUGCCAAUGAAAAAUUGGAGGAAGGUGAGGAUCACGUCAAAUCAUCAUGCCCCUUAUGAUCUGGGCUACAAACGUGAUACAAUGGCUGUUACAAAGAGUAGCUGAAACGCAAGUUUAUAGCCAAUCUCAUAAAAGCAGUCUCAGUUCGGAUUGAAGUCUGCAACUCGACUUCAUGAAGUUGGAAUCGCUAGUAAUCGCGAAUCAGCAUGUCGCGGUGAAUACGUUCACGGGGUUUGUACACACCCCCCGUC